rnacentral:miRNA from 1 species
CCUCAAAUUACUUGGAGAUCUUGUUAAAAUGCAGAUUCUGAUUUGGUAAGUCGGGGAUGUGGCCUGAGGUUCUGCAUUUCUAAUGAAUUCCCAGGUGAUUUCUGG